AUCUUAUCUGGACAUCUCUGUGCACCUAUAGUGUUCUGAAGGUGAACAGUGCUGCCUGUUCAGGUGCCUCAGACCCCCAACAUCUCAUUGAGAACCAAAGCAGGUUUUCCUGGAGCUGGAUAAGUCCAUCACCCCAUGUGCACAGCUCUUCCAUCCCUCACAGGAGCCGCCGGUGCUGCAGCACAGAACAAAUGCUACCUACGAAAUGGGGAGCAAACCACGUUCAGUCAUUCCCAGCAGAAACGUUUCUCUUGGUCAGUCGGACUUCACAGGGGUGAAAAGGGCCCUUUCCACCCUGGUCACUGAUAACUGGUAGGACGAUGAAGUGAGGCAUACUGUGCAAAUAGAGCCCCGAUCCUUCUUGAGGAGUAGAGUCUUUUUGAAUUAUUGGAAGGAUCUGGGGCUUUGCUAGUGCUGCUUUAACUCAGAUUUCUGAGACACUCUGAGGCAUAAAGAUGUCUUUGUCAAAGUUCAUCGCUUCUUCCCUUUAUUCAAAGAAGGAGAAAUAAGUCUGACUCAGGCGCUGUUGAUGAGUUGUAUGGGAAGGUCAAGAUUGAUAGCAGUUGUAAAGAAGAAUGAAACCACUUUUAAAGCUCUUCCCUUCCUGGUGAUAAAGAAUAUGAUCUCAAUUAUUUUUCUCUUCUAUGGACCUGUUUUAAGUGAAGAUUUUUCUUGCAUGCAAUUUUACAUUGGCAAUAAAAACAGCUCUUCUUUUGGGUAAGCUUUGAUCCAUAGACUCUGACAGCCCAGCAGUCGAGGCUGUGUUUCUCCAUCCACAGCCUUGUGAUUUACAUGGCACAGAGGGCCGUACAUGUGCAGCACACAGCAAGAAUGACAUCCCACACCCAUUCACUGUAUAAAAAUUACGUUGUGGUGAGAAGAC
ensembl:lncRNA